CCUACGGGGUGCAGCAGUGAGGAAUAUUGGUCAAUGGACGAGAGUCUGAACCAGCCAAGUAGCGUGAAGGAUGACUGCCCUAUGGGUUGUAAACUUCUUUUAUAUGGUAAUAAAAUGUUCCACGUGUGGGAUUUUGUAUGUACCAUAUGAAUAAGGAUCGGCUAACUCCGUGCCAGCAGCCGCGGUAAUACGGAGGAUCCGAGCGUUAUCCGGAUUUAUUGGGUUUAAAGGGAGCGUAGGUGGAUUGUUAAGUCAGUUGUGAAAGUUUGCGGCUCAACCGUAAAAUUGCAGUUGAAACUGGCAGUCUUGAGUACAGUAGAGGUGGGCGGAAUGCGUGGUGUAGCGGUGAAAUGCUUAGAUAUCACGAAGAACUCCGAUUGCGAAGGCAGUUCACUGGACUGCAACUGACACUGAGGCUCGAAAGUGUGGGUAUCAAACAGGAUUAGAUACCCCGGUAGUC
rnacentral:rRNA from 1 species